rnacentral:rRNA from 1 species
UACGAAGGUCCCAAGCGUUAUCCGGAUUUAUUGGGUUUAAAGGGUGCGUAGGCGGACUAUUAAGUCAGUGGUGAAAGCCCCAAGCUUAACUUGGGAACUGCCAUUGAUACUGAUGGUCUUGAGUACAUUUGAGGUGGGCGGAAUGUGUCAUGUAGCGGUGAAAUGCUUAGAUAUGACACAGAACACCGAUUGCGAAGGCAGCUCACUAAGCCAUAACUGACGCUGAUGCACGAAAGCGUGGGGAGCAAACAGG